rnacentral:rRNA from 1 species
GACGAAGGGGGCUAGCGUUGUUCGGAAUUACUGGGCGUAAAGCGCGUGUAGGCGGUUGCCCAAGUCGGGUGUGAAAGCCUUGAGCUCAACUCAAGAAAUGCACUUGGUACUGGGUGACUAGAGGACCGGAGAGGAUAGUGGAAUUCCCAGUGUAGUGGUGAAAUACGUAGAGAUUGGGAAGAACACCAGUGGCGAAGGCGGCUAUCUGGACGGUUUCUGACGCUAAGACGCGAAAGCGUGGGGAGCAAACAGG